rnacentral:rRNA from 1 species
GACGAACGCUGGCGGCGUGCUUAACACAUGCAAGUCGAACGCUGAAGCUUGGUGCUUGCACUGGGUGGAUGAGUGGCGAACGGGUGAGUAAUACGUGAGUAACCUGCCCUUGACUCUGGGAUAAGCCUGGGAAACUGGGUCUAAUACUGGAUACGACAUGUCACCGCAUGGUGCUGUGUGGAAAGGGUUUUACUGGUUUUGGAUGGGCUCACGGCCUAUCAGCUUGUUGGUGGGGUAAUGGCUCACCAAGGCGACGACGGGUAGCCGGCCUGAGAGGGUGACCGGCCACACUGGGACUGAGAGACGGCCCAGACUCCUACGGGAGGCAGAAGGGGGGAAUAUUGCACAAUGGGCGGAAGCCUGAUGCAGCGACGCCGCGUGAGGGAUGACGGCCUUCGGGUUGUAAACCUCUUUCAGCACGGAAGAAGCGAAAGUGACGGUACGUGCAGAAGAAGCGCCGGCUAACUACGUG